rnacentral:rRNA from 1 species
UCAUGGCUCAGAUUGAACGCUGGCGGCAGGCCUAACACAUGCAAGUCGAGCGGAAACGACAACAUUGACCCUUCGGGUGAUUUGUUGGGCGUCGAGCGGCGGACGGGUGAGUAAUGCCUGGGAAAUUGCCCUGAUGUGGGGGAUAACCAUUGGAAACGAUGGCUAAUACCGCAUAACGUCUACGGACCAAAGAGGGGGACCUUCGGGCCUCUCGCUUCAGGAUAUGCCCAGGUGGGAUUAGCUAGUUGGUGAGGUAAUGGCUCACCAAGGCGACGAUCCCUAGCUGGUCUGAGAGGAUGAUCAGCCACACUGGAACUGAGACACGGUCCAGACUCCUACGGGAGGCAGCAGUGGGGAAUAUUGCACAAUGGGCGCAAGCCUGAUGCAGCCAUGCCGCGUGUAUGAAGAAGGCCUUCGGGUUGUAAAGUACUUUCAGUCGUGAGGAAGGCGUU